rnacentral:snoRNA from 1 species
AUCGCUAGCAUGAAUACCGCCCCAGUCUGAUAACUGUGACUGAAAGGUAUUUUCUGAAUUGGA